rnacentral:ncRNA from 2 species
AUUAGAGAGUUGGGGAGCUUAUGCAUUUAGGCUGAGAGGAAGUAAAUGGCUACUUCGACCCAUGUACCUGAUACGGAUAAUGCCGGCGGAGGGAAAAACAGGUUGAGUUGCU